rnacentral:lncRNA from 1 species
AGACGUAAAAAAUGAUCAAAUCGAAUUACUACCGGUAGUGUAUUUCUGACUACAGGUAGUACAAAAUUUCAGAGGCUAAAUCAGAUUUUUUACUAUCGGUAGUGAAAUAAACACUACCGGUAGUCCACACUCACUCUCUCACAUCUCACCCUCUCAAGUCUCACUCACCCCAUCAUUGUCUCUGACACACACACUCCCUCACAUUUAACUCUCU